CUUGCUGCUGAAAUGUGGAUUAAUCUGUAAUCAUGCAGGCUGGAAUUUCCUCCUCCUUUUCUUUAACUUCUGCCUCUCUCUCUUCCUUCUCCUCCUUGUUCCUCCACAUGUAUUUGUAAUGAAGAAAGUGAGGCAAAAUUGGCAUUUGUGGGUCUACGUAGUGAAAUGAGACCAAGAAUGCUUUGACCCCCUGAGUCAGUCAAAGUGCUUAGUGCUGGAAGAUAUUGUGGAGGGAUUCUCUUCUGUACACUUCAAGAUGGAGAACAAAAAUAAGCCUAAAGCCUGAACGCUAUUCCAGCCCUCUGUACAGCCUGAGCAGAAGUCCAUUUGCUGCUGUGCCAGAGAAAACUUCUCAACGGUCUUCUGCUGACAGACAUGGGUCACAGUCAACGUGAAUUAAAUACGACAGUACUUUGUGCCAUUAUUACACACAGUGAGGAUGGAGCGCUGUGAGAAAUCCAAGGUGGUUCAGAAGAGGAAGAAUUAACAGGAUAGUAAUUUUUAUCACCUAUACUAUAGUUUAGAUUGACAUUUGUAAACUUUAUCUCUUAUAAAUCUCUGAAGUAUUUUAUUACUACUAUUAUUAUUAUUAUUAUGACUGUCGCUAUCUUCUGUUUACUGGGAAGCAAAAUGACGCUCACGUAGGUUAUAUGACUUAGACAAAAUUCCUUAGCUAGUGAAAAAUGGGGCUGGCUCUUCUGAAUCAAAAAGCAGUACCCUCCCUCUCAGUCAUUCUGUCCUCUUGAGGAGCAAAAAAUCUCCUCACACAUUUUGCUCAUGUGUUGUGUGUGACAUAUAGGAGACGCAUCGAUUUUAUUUAGAGAAGUACAAUUUUCCAACACUUUACUUCCUCCCAUUGCUUCUUUGUCUGCAACAGAUUGGUAAGUAGGUAGUAAAAUCAGCAUGUAAAUGUGGGAUUGGAAAUGGCAGGUUAACAGUCGAACUUCAUUAGAGGAUAUAGGAAGUCAGAGAGAGAGGAUAUAAGGAAGAGGAAAUCAAUGACCUCUUCCUGGAAAUAUUUGACGUAUGUGUCCUACUCACUGUUUUUGCUUUUAGAUGUUGCAUAUUUCUAUUUUAUUUUUCAGAGAGAUGACUCAAGUUCAGCAGUGCAGGAAGAUUUCUGUGUUGU